CCGUUGGAGAGUUUGAUCCUGGCUCAGGACGAACGCUGGCGGCGUGCUUAAUGCAUGCAAGUCGAACGAG
rnacentral:rRNA from 1 species